CGGCGAGAAUAGUCCAUUCUCGCCCCGACGUUCGCCUCUGCCAUUUCGUUCCGUUCUCGUCGGUGUUCGCUUUCCUCAUUUCAACCAAUUCUCGCUGUUGUUUGCUGCCGUUAUUCCUGGUUACUUUGCUAGAAAAAUGAAAGUUGAUGGAGCAGAGCUGAAUCUUAAGGAAAUCUGGAAUGAGAUUGUAGAAGAUCUCUCAAAUAAUCUGUUGAGAACUUGCGAAUUUGAUGAAUCUAAGAAGCUGCAUAAACCUACUGAAAUGGAGCUGGAAAAUGUAACAAUGUGGCAGCAACUGCCGGAUGAAAUUUGGCGCGAUAUUCUACUUAGGGUUAGUACUCUGGAUAAACUGAGAAGUGCAGACAAGGUGUGUGCUUGUGGAGACGCUUGUUGAAGGAGCCAUUUAGCUGGAACAUGAUCGAUUUGAGAGAUUCAAGGUGCAUUCCCCUCAAAAUAUGAAAACAUUUUUUCAUGUUGCUGUGGAUCGUAGCCGAGGCGAAUGUACUGAACUUUACUAUGCAUUUUGUGGGUCAAAUGAUCUGGCAUAUUUAGUGGAAAGGUGCAAAGGGUUAAAAAGGUUGUGGCUUAGGGGUUGGGCAGGAGAUUGGGGUAUUCCUAUCUAUUCUUGUCUGAUCAAAGUGGCUCCAAGAUUGUACCACUUGGAGGAGCUGAUUCUCCAAGAUUGUUUUACCAAUUGAGGCUUUAGGUGUACACUGUCCCAGAUUGACAUCGUUCUUCCUGAGUCAUUUCGAUGUUAUGGAGUUUGAGACCGAGGAAGAGAAGAAUGAGGAUGCUUUGGCUAUUGCAGCCCACUUGCCUUUACUAUGCCAACUUCAACUUAUCGGCAAUGCUUUGACUGUCUGGGGACUUGAGGCAGUUUUGGUGGGUUGUCCUAACUUCAAGUCCCUCGAUUUGCGUAGAUGUCUUGGUCUUGACCUUUCGGGACCUAUUGGAGAUAGGUGUAGAAGAAUGGCGGACUUUCGACAUCCUUUUGACUCGAUGAGUGAUUUCAUGUUUCUGGUUUAGAGGGGUUGUUGUUGUUUUGUCGAGGGAUUUAUACAUGCCAUAGAUGAAUUCUUUCGAAGCCCAUCUAAACACUCUUAUUGUAUAGUUGAACACUGUUGAAUACUCUUUUUGCAUCAUUUGUCACCUUUUAGCCAUCUUCUUGUAUGUAAUAUGCACUUGCUUAAACUUGUCAGAGGAAAUUUCUUGCAUCAUUUCACACUUACGACGACAUUGAGCUACUUCAUUGUUUGUACUUCUUUGCUGAGUUUAUAUAGCGCCUUGAUCGAUCUAUUGUGUUUCUCCAAAUCUUGAUUUGAGUGGUGAUUGUUAAUGGUAAUUUUGUAUUUUUUUUUAUUCUGAAUUAUAUUAGGGAUUUCUCCUCGUGGUAUUCUUGGAUCAGAAUUCAAAGUCUCUAGUGUUAGGAUUUCUCUCAGAUGUUCUCAUUUAAAUCCUAUAAGGAUCCAGUCUCUAUUAGAGCAUGCAUGUCUACUCUGUUCCGGAAGUGUAUGGAGGUGGUUCAGUUGAGCAAUAGAAUUCUGAUCAUGAGCAACUAAUGAAAGUGUAAACUUUCUUUUGACAUUUAUAUGAAUGUGCUUGUGAAUGUUUUACUAUUUUUAUUAUUACAGGAACAAGUGAUGUGCAUCAUAAAUGUUAAGGUAGGACCUGUUUUCGUUCUCUUGGAAAAUAUAGAUUAGUGUCGUGGCUUGCUUGAAUAGGCAGAAGUUGUACCUGCAAUGUGAUCUUGCCCUGUUUUAUAUUUGAAAUGUCACUUUUUAAGUUCUAAUCCUUUUUAUCUUUGCUUUAAAUGUUAUACACAUUGAUGCUUCAGUAGUCAGUCAGUUUAUAAGAGGAGUUAAGGAAGCAGAACUUACCUUGCAUGUAACUACAUAAGGAUGACAAAUUUGCACCUAUAUCUGUCAUGUUAGCUUCUGAGACACUGAGAUUACUAAGAGACAUUACAUAAGAGUUCUGUUAUAAGUUCAUCAUGGACAAAUGUACAUCCCACUUUGACUGAUGAGCUUGAGAAAGAAGCAGCUACAAUAUGGAUUAGUGACAUGCUUGCUCUAGCACUACAAGUUGAUCAUACACCACAAAUAUUUUUUAUUUUCAAGCAAUUCUCUGUAUAUAAAAUCUCUGUAAGUGUGAAGGUCUCUAGCUUAACUUUUCUGUUAACUAGUGAUUGGGGAAGGAUCGGGUGUCUUACUCUUAGGAGAACUUGAACAGGCAAAGGUAUGCUUCCACUUAA